rnacentral:rRNA from 1 species
AGCUCUGUAAGCGUAUACCCAAGUUGUUGCAGUUAAAACGCUCGUAGUCGGAGUUUGGCGGGUGAGCCGGGGCGUCUUCGCGGACGGACCUGGGUUUGGCCGCCUUUGUGGAGGGGGGCGCGGAUCCGCUUAAGUGCGGGCUCGUUGUCGCUGCCACCGUUUACUGUGAAAAAAUUAGAGUGUUCAAAGCGGGCGUUUGCCAUGAAUACCUUAGCAUGGAAUAAUAGAAUAGGACCUGUGUUUCCUGUUUUAUUGGUUUGUGAGGACCGGGUAAUGAUUAAGAGGGACGGUUGGGGGCAUUUGUAUUCCGGCGUCAGAGGUGAAAUUCUUGGAUUGUCGGAAGACAAACGGCUGCGAAAGCGUCUGCCAAGGACGUUUUCA